CAUGGAUCCACUAUGGCUGCUUCGUCCUUCACUUAGGACCUUCUCACCCCCACAGAGAUCAGAGAGAAAAAUAUAUCUUGGAAGCAGGAACCCUUACCUCAUAAGAUGGGUUAUGACUAUGCCGUAGGUGACGUGCGGAAAGGCGACCAAAGAGUACAUGAAGAAUUCUUGCUAUCAACUAGGGCUGGAUGCCCCCAGGAAGAAUGCCGCCCCCGUUGCAUUGCAAGGGCAAUCAGGUCAUGGCAGAAUCAAGUAGGAACUAGGAAGUAGGAAGGGACCAGUCCCGCCCCCAGCGACAAAGACUCCGACAACGGUGACGGCAGUGUGUCCCGGCGAGCGUGAGCAAUGGAAGCAUAAUCUCCAAGUAACUGACCAAGACGUUGUCCAGGUCACACGUCGAGGACUUCCUGCCGCCACCUUGGCUGCUGUUGUUGUCCCCUCAAAUAAGCCAUAUAAGGCAUCCCUAGCUGCACUUGCAGGUCAAAAACAUGUGCAUACUUCGGUAGGCACAACAAGCAGACCUAUACAAAUUUGCUACAAAGGCCUGAGCUACU